rnacentral:rRNA from 1 species
AGUGAACGCUGGCGGUAGGCCUAACACAUGCAAGUCGAACGGCAGCACAGUAAGAGCUUGCUCUUACGGGUGGCGAGUGGCGGACGGGUGAGGAAUACACCGGAAUCUACUUUUUCGUGGGGGAUAACGUAGGGAAACUUACGCUAAUACCGCAUACGACCUACGGGUGAAAGCAGGGGAUCUUCGGACCUUGCGCGAUUGAAUGAGCCGAUGUCGGAUUAGCUAGUUGGCGGGGUAAAGGCCCACCAAGGCGACGAUACGUAGCUGAUCUGAGAGGAUGAUCAGCCACACUAGAACGGAAACACGGUCCAGACUCCUACGGGAGGCAGCAGUGGGGAAUAUUGGACAGUGGGCGCAAGCCUGAUCCAGCCAUACCGCGUGGGUGAAGAAAGCCUUCGGGUUGUAAAGCCCUUUUGUUGGGAAAGAAAAGCAGCAGGUUGAUACCCCGCUGUUCUGACGGUACCCAAAGAAUAAGCACCGGCUAACUUCGUG